rnacentral:lncRNA from 1 species
AGGAAAAGGAUCUGCCUUCACUCUGCUAGACAGUCAGAAGAUAAUUUUGUAGUCUGGUGCUCAGGGGCAGCUGGCUUGCCAGGGGUAGGUGACAGCUCUUCCAAAGAGGCUUAAGUUCGUUAGAAUGGAAGAACUAGACUUACUCUUCAACUCAUGAAUCAACUCAGACAAGUCCAACAAGACAGAAAGAAAUGGGUCAGAUGACGGCAACACUUUUCAAGGCCAGCCAAAUCUUAGGAGGAACGGUGAAUCUGCAAGGAUACAGAGUUGAAGAGAAGAGAGCACCAGGGAUCCACCAGGCAACUGCGUUACAGAAAGAAAGUCACGCACAGGAAAAGCAGAUUUCUGAUUCUGCCACCAGGAAGGGUCAAAGUCUGGACAGCACUUGGUCAGGAGCCUGGCUUCCCUUUCUUGAAAAACAUCACAUGUAAACAUCUAACUGAGAGCUUGGUACACAGCAGGCUCUGAGUGUUGGCCCCAUCACGAUGACAACCAAGGGCUAAUUAUGAAAUAAGGAGGACACAAGAAAAGACACUAUCAAGGAUACAGUUUUUUUAAAAAGGUGGGGGAAAGUUCAUCUUUUUUUAAAAAAGCAUCCAUAGACUUAAAAUUUUUUUGUUUGGGGUCUGUAAAAAAAUAGCAAUAUGGGUGAAACGCUAUGAUAAAAAAUUGCCCAAAUUCUUGUUAUGUUAAAAUGUUACUGAUCCAAAUAUUGCUUAAAAUAGAUGAACAUUAAAGCUUUUCCUAAAAAGGAUUUUUUCCUUCAUCAUUGUAUCCAUUUUUUUUGUCUAUUAUAUGCUACUUACUGUCCUUGGGUAUUGCCUGUCUUUGUUUCAGGGCAGUCAAAAAAAAUUUUUUUAUAUAAAAAAAGUCAAAAGAUUCUUCUGCUUUUACCUCUAAAAAAUAAACAGAAUUUCUGAACCCUACUUCCUUAACCCAUCAUAAAGAUUGUUUGAUAUUGACUAGAGGACCCUACUCAGAUUAGAAGGUAGAUACACUCAUAAGUAUCACUUCCCAUUCUUACCCAAUACAGCAGGGAGGGUGAGUUGGUGAUUCACACCAAGGCAUAAAGGGAAAUAAAAACAAACGUGUCCCAAAAGGAAGGAAUUUGGCUUGUGAAGAGCUACAAGUUUUCCUCAGCAGGGGAACAGGGUACUGGGUGUUCAGAAACAAUGGCACCUAAAGGAGGGCACUAACAGGGCUGGUCAAGGAAGAUACAAAAGAAAAUCCAUGCACAUAAAUUGCAAAAGUAGGCCGGGUGAUGGUUGACACCUGUAAUCCCAGCACUUUGAGAGGCUAAGGCGGAAGGAUCCCUUGAGCCCAGGAGUUCGGUAUCAGCCUGGGAAAUAUAGUGAGAGCCUGUCUCCACAAAAAAAAGUUUAAAAAUUAGCCGGGCAUGGUGGCACGUACCUGUAGUCCUGGCUACUUGAGAGGCUGAGACCAGAGGAUCACUUGAGCCCAAGAGGCAGAGGUGGAGAUUACAGCUAGCCUUGAGAUUGCACCACUGCACUCCAGCCUGGGCAACAGAGCAAGACUGUGUCUCAAAAAACAAACAAACAAACAAC